CCCUUAGAUGUCCGGGGCCGCACGCGCGCUACACUGAAGGAAUCAGCGUGGCUUUCUCCCUGACCCGAAAGGGUUGGGAAACCCGUUGAAUCUCCUUCGUGAUAGGGAUUGGGGCUUGAAAUUGUUCCCCAUGAACGAGGAAUUCCCAGUAACCGCGAGUCAUAAGCUCGCGUUGAUUACGUCCCUGCCCUUUGUACACACCGCCCGUCGCUACUACCGAUUGAACGGUUUAGUGAGGGCCUCGGAUUGGUCUCGGCCCGCUCUUUACCGGGCGGCGCCGUUGGUCGAGAAGACGCUCGAACUUGAUCGUUUAGAGGAAGUAAAAGUCGUAACA
rnacentral:rRNA from 1 species